rnacentral:rRNA from 1 species
UGAGGAAUAUUGGUCAAUGGGCGAGAGCCUGAACCAGCCAAGUCGCGUGAAGGAAGACAGUCCUAAGGAUUGUAAACUUCUUUUAUACGGGAAUAACGGGCGAUACGAGUAUUGCAUUGAAUGUACCGUAAGAAUAAGCAUCGGCUAACUCCGUGCCAGCAGCCGCGGUAAUACGGAGGAUGCGAGCGUUAUCCGGAUUUAUUGGGUUUAAAGGGUGCGUAGGUUGUUCGGUAAGUCAGCGGUGAAACCUGAGCGCUCAACGUUCAGCCUGCCGUUGAAACUGCCGGGCUUGAGUUCAGUGGCGGCAGGCGAAAUUCGUGGUGUAGCGGUGAAAUGCAUAGAUAUCACGAGGAACUCCGAUUGCGAAGGCAGCUUGCCAUACUGCGACUGACACUGAAGCACGAAGGCGUGGGUAUCAAACAGG